rnacentral:rRNA from 1 species
ACAUGCAAGUCGAGCGGUAGAGAGAAGCUUGCUUCUCUUGAGAGCGGCGGACGGGUGAGUAAUGACUAGGAAUCUGCCUGGUAGUGGGGGAUAACGUUCGGAAACGGACGCUAAUACCGCAUACGUCCUACGGGAGAAAGCAGGGGACCUUCGGGCCUUGCGCUAUCAGAUGAGCCUAGGUCGGAUUAGCUAGUUGGUGAGGUAAUGGCUCACCAAGGCGACGAUCCGUAACUGGUCUGAGAGGAUGAUCAGUCACACUGGAACUGAGACACGGUCCAGACUCCUACGGGAGGCAGCAGUGGGGAAUAUUGGACAAUGGGCGAAAGCCUGAUCCAGCCAUGCCGCGUGUGUGAAGAAGGUCUUCGGAUUGUAAAGCACUUUAAGUUGGGAGGAAGGGUUGUAGAUUAAUACUCUGCAAUUUUGACGUUACCGACAGAAUAAGCACCGGCUAACUCUGUGCCAGCAGCCGCGGUAAUACAGAGGGUGCAAGCGUUAAUCGGAAUUACUGGGCGUAAAGCGCGCGUAGGUGGUUUGUUAAGUUGGAUGUGAAAUCCCCGGGCUCAACCUGGGAACUGCAUUCAAAACUGACUGACUAGAGUAUGGUAGAGGGUGGUGGAAUUUCCUGUGUAGCGGUGAAAUGCGUAGAUAUAGGAAGGAACACCAGUGGCGAAGGCGACCACCUGGACUAAUACUGACACUGAGGUGCGNAAGCGUGG